CCAUCUCUUUUGGCGGUUGUGGACGUAAAGAUACAUGUAAAGAUGUAGAUUACAACGUAAAGAUGUAAAUAAACUCGGUGGUUGAUAUAAAUGUGGAGUGCAGAAUUUGUUGGUUAUUUGCAUCGAAAUCGACUAAUGUUUAGUGCAAAUGUAAUUAAAUUAAUGGGUAAGGGCCGUAGGACUGGUGUGCAACACAUAGAAUCGUCGUUCAAAGCGGCUGCAUGCUUGCAGUAGCACGGGAAUGUGACCAUGCAAAAUAUCCGGCGUCGGAGAGAUGCUGUACCGCAGUAGGAGAUGAUUUGCAAGCGGCAGACAACCAUACACCGGGAUGUAUAAAGGCAACAUAAAACCUCACUGCGACACUGCCGGAGACUAGUUUUUGGAAUGACCAUCUGGAUGAAAGAUGGUUGAACUGUGUGCAACAGAGCACGCAUGUUCCCAAGCCCUCAUGCACCGAUAUGCACAGCAACGAAAUACCAGCUAGUUAAAUUUGUAUGUUUACAUGUUUGCCUCAUCUUAUAUGCAGGUGGUUUGGUCCCGGUUGAACACGUCGUGAUCCGGCCAAGAUGGCAACCAUUCUCCAGAUCGCUCGGCCCAGGUAUACCUUCCUUCAUAAUCAUCAGUUCUCGACCAACGAUAGGUGAUGUGCGAAUUGACCUGUAAUGUCGUUGGUAGGUUCGAAGGUGCAACAAAGCAUAAACGAUUCCAACCGAUUGGGACCGUGAAUUCGGGUCGGGUAGGACUAAAAUAGGUUCAAGACCCGGCCUAAACUCGCUGCACCAAUUGGUCGGUGUGUUUAUGUGUUAUGACGUAGCGGACCUGCAGCAUCCACGGAUCUGUAUGAGAUUGUUAUUGGCUCGCGCUCGACUCUACGACGGGUCGUGAAAUGAAUCGUAAGUCCCAUCACUAGUUGAAAUCCGUCCGGAGUGUUUGAUACGUAGACAAACGCAGCGACAGGGGUAGAAGAUCUGUAUGCUCCGCAGCGUAGUUUGGCUCUUUUGGUUACGAAAGUGCAACUUAUUUAAAAUGUAACAUCGUGCUUGUAAUUUAAAUAAAAACGUAUAACAAAAAAAUCGAAAAUUUCUUUUUUCUAACUCUGUGCCACACGAGGAAAACAAAUUUAAUUCGAGAAAUUGCAAUGAUCUUGAUGACAUUUAUUUAAUUGUAUAUGUUGUUGUUAUUAUAUAGUUCCAAACG